rnacentral:rRNA from 1 species
UACGUAGGGUGCAAGCGUUGUCCGGAAUUAUUGGGCGUAAAGAGCUCGUAGGCGGUUUGUCGCGUCGAAUGUGAAAACCCGGGGCUCAACCCCGGGCCUGCAUUCGAUACGGGCAGACUAGAGUUCGGUAGGGGAGUCUGGAAUUCCUGGUGUAGCGGUGAAAUGCGCAGAUAUCAGGAGAACACCCGGUGGCGAAGGCGGGUCUCUGG